GGCGAAGAGAAGCCGUCGGGAGCCGAUCCGCGAUCAGCCGGCAGGGCCGGCAGCGGCCGUGCAGCCCCCACCAAGGUCCGGCUCAGUGGCCGUAGGUGAGCGCUGGAGGCAUCCGCACCUUGAGCCUGGCACUGCUCUUGUGGUGGCCAGCAUAGGGACUGAUGAUCUCAGAAGCGUCUCUGAGUUUACCUCUCAGUUAGCUAACAAAGUGAGGAAACGUUGUCUCCGUGUCACAGGGCCGUAGACUUGGCCAGAAGGAACGUACAGAGGAAUCACUGCAAGCAAGAAGCUGUGCAAAAAUAAAGCAUUUUACAUCAUCUUCGGGGGUAAAGUCGCCCAAGUUGGUGGCAUCUGAUUUUUAUGCUGAUUUGUGCCCUGCAGCUGACUUCGGUUGAAUUGUUUGCGGUUCAACGAAUCCCUCCGGGACAACGGCAUGCCUGGAGUCAGACACAAAUGCCUUGGCAGGAACAAGGAAUGUAACCUGACCCAGUGCCACGGCCGCUCCUCCUCCUUCUCUCCCGCUGCUUCGGCCCUAUCCAUAUCACACUCUAUUUCACCAUACCCCAGUAGAGCAUCACUUUAAAAUUCUGAUAUGUAGGACCUGCAGACUGAGCCCCUGGAGCAUGAAUGGAGUUUUGUGCCUUGUUAAAGUAAUAAGUACAUGCAUCACUGUAAGUAACGGUAAAAAAGCAGAUAAUAUGACGUGUCUUUCCACUAACCUAUGUAACAGAUUAACUGAAAAUUUGGGUAUAUGAUUUGCCAGUGUUGCUCAGCAGAGAUUUGUUGAAAGUCCUGCAGGAACAACACAUGUGAAAUACGAAAUAACGAAGAAUAGUUUUUCCUAAUGCUGUAACAUUACUUCUUUCUAGCUGUAAAAGGAGAAAGUACAGGCAAAAUACUGAAUGGUACACACUUAGUUUCACUGGGGAAAAAAAGCCUUAGGUUCCUUGUCACAUGUGAUUCCCUCUCAAGAGGGAAAACAGAAUGGUAGAUUCCAGAGUCCUCCCAAAUAAGUCACUGGGUUAAAUGUGACUAGGCAGAUAGCCUGGCCCUGCCUAAGACUUUGGUUACCUUUUUUUUUUUUCCUGUUGUUGUGACCAGUUUAAGGUUUUAUUGAUCUUUUUGCCAAGUAUUUUGCCAGGUUAGUAAUAACUGGAUUAAUUCCCUCUGGCUCACCAAGCAGCCAAACAAAUGCUGGUGCCAGCAUGAGAGAGAGAGGUGGUGAGCAUGAGUGGUGAGGAAAGUCUGGCACUUGCCUUUUUUUUUUUUUCUCGACAUCACUACAGAUUUGUGCUGGCUUUGAAUAGCUGUCUAACCAUGACCUGCUUUUCUUCUUUACACUGUUUGACAUUGCAAAGGGUUUUCUGGAAAGAAAGGAGUUAAGUCACCCACAUGAUGCUUCAGGUAGCAGCUCACUAUGAGAAAAUAAAUUCAAGAUUUUGGUCACUACAGCUGAAAUGAGAGAUGAAGAUAAAGAGUAAUCACCCAAUGAAAGACACAUACUUCUGCCCCUACUCUCCAGUACAGUCACAGGCUUCCAGCCGCUGCCUCUGAAGCAGAUCGCCGAUGUUAAGGGUCGAGGUUGAUUGACCGCCCUUCUUUUUGGGAAGCGUCCGCUGAUAUCUUAACUCACCUUUGCCAUACUGCACUCUGGACCCAUACCGCAGUUCACAGAGCAAGCUGUGUGGAAAAUACUGGUAACACAAUUACUCUUUUGACCAUCGAGCUUGAGAUCUCUUACAGAGGGAAUACAGCAUUUUACAGCAAACACGUAAGCCAACAGCAAACAGACAGCUCCAGAUAUGGUUAGCCAUUUGUAUGCAAGUACAGCUGGCUGGGCUGUUCUGGGAUCUAGGACUUCACCAGUUCACGGAAGACUUGCGGUUGGAAGGCUUCUCUGGAGACCAGCUAGUCCGAUCUACUCCUAAAAGCAGGAUCCACUGGAGUAGGUUGCUCAGGCCUUUGUCCCGGUGACUUUUGAGGACCUUCAAGGAUAGAGGUUUUACUGGGCAACCCGUUCCCAUGCCUGACCAGUCUCACAAAUAAAGAAGUUAUUUAUUGGAUUUAAACAGCAUUUCAUGUAUUUCAGCUUGUGCCUUUUGCCUCCUUUCCUGUUACUGGUUACCACUGAGAAGCGCCCAGCUCAGUCUUUUUAAUUCCCUCACCAGGAAUUUAUCUAUACACAUUGCUAAAAUCCCCCCUUGGUCUGGUAUUCUCUGGACUUAACAACUCUGGUUAUCUCAGCCUCUCCUUCAGGCCCUUGAUCAUCUUGGUGGUGCUUUGCUGGAUGCUCCCUGGCAUGACAUGCACCUGUUGGAGAGGAGCCAGAGGAGGCCACAAAGAUGAUCAGAGGGACAAAACAUCUCUCCUAUAAGGACAUGCUGAGAGAGUUGGGGUCGUUCAGCCUGGAGAAGAGAAGGCUCUGGUGAGACCUUAUUGUGGCCUUUCAGUACUUAAAAGGGGCCUGUAAGAAAGAUGGGGACAGACUUUUCAGCAGGAUUUGUUGUGAUAUGACAAGGGAUAAUGGCUUUAAAUGAAAGGAAGGGGUAUUCAGGCUAGAUGUGAAGAAAAUUUUUUUUACAAUGAGGGUGGUGAAACACUGGAACAUGUUGCCCAUGAUGCAACAUGUAGAUGCCCCAUCCCUGGAGACAUUCAAGGCCAGGCUGGAGGGGCAAUGUGAUCUAGUUGAAGAUGUCCCUGCUCAUUGCAGGGGGUUGGAUUGGAUGAGCUUUGAAGGCCACUUCAAACCCAAACUAUUCUAUGAUUCUGUGAUUCUAUAAUUCUAUGAUCUGAGAGACAGCAGUAUUAAGAGACAAAAUCAAAGGGGCUGUAAAAGUUAUGUCAAGGUCCAGGGGUUUAUAAUUUACAUGUAAUUGGAUUUGCUACCAAAUGAGGAAGAUAAUAGUGAGACUGUUAUCACGAAGCAAAACUCCAGGACUUCUAAAGAACUUAAUGCAUUAUUUGCACUGUGAGCAACAGCGUCUGUUAUUAUUUAUUUGCACUGCAUUUCAUGUCCUGGCAAGACAGACAAAUAAAAAAGGGAAGGGUAGUAAUCAUAGAAUCAGAGCACAAAUAGAGCUGAGAGAGCAUGCUAGAGAUUAUAGGGGUGUUGAAUUUACCAGAACAACUGAAACAGCAGCUUACAAACACCACAAACGAAACAAUAAACU